CUUGCUCCCUGAUGUUAGCGGCGGACGGGUGAGUAACACGUGGGUAACCUGCCUGUAAGACUGGGAUAACUCCGGGAAACCGGGGCUAAUACCGGAUGCUUGUUUGAACCGCAUGGUUCAAACAUAAAAGGUGGCUUCGGCUACCACUUACAGAUGGACCCGCGGCGCAUUAGCUAGUUGGUGAGGUAAUGGCUCACCAAGGCAACGAUGCGUAGCCGACCUGAGAGGGUGAUCGGCCACACUGGGACUGAGACACGGCCCAGACUCCUACGGGAGGCAGCAGUAGGGAAUCUUCCGCAAUGGACGAAAGUCUGACGGAGCAACGCCGCGUGAGUGAUGAAGGUUUUCGGAUCGUAAAGCUCUGUUGUUAGGGAAGAACAAGUACCGUUCGAAUAGGGCGGUACCUUGACGGUACCUAACCAGAAAGCCACGGCUAACUACGUGCCAGCAGCCGCGGUAAUACGUAGGUGGCAAGCGUUGUCCGGAAUUAUGGGCGUAAAGGGCUCGCAGGCGGUUUCUUAAGUCUGAUGUGAAAGCCCCCGGCUCAACCGGGGAGGGUCAUUGGAAACUGGGGAACUUGAGUGCAGAAGAGGAGAGUGGAAUUCCACGUGUAGCGGUGAAAUGCGUAGAGAUGUGGAGGAACACCAGUGGCGAAGGCGACUCUCUGGUCUGUAACUGACGCUGAGGAGCGAAAGCGUGGGGAGCGAACAGGAUUAGAUACCCUGGUAGUCCACGCCGUAAACGAUGAGUGCUAAGUGUUAGGGGGUUUCCGCCCCUUAGUGCUGCAGCUAACGCAUUAAGCACUCCGCCUGGGGAGUACGGUCGCAAGACUGAAACUCAAAGGAAUUGACGGGGGCCCGCACAAGCGGUGGAGCAUGUGGGUUUAAUUCGAAGCAACGCGAAGAACCUUACCAGGUCUUGACAUCCUCUGACAAUCCUAGAGAUAGGACGUCCCCUUCGGGGGCAGAGUGACAGG
rnacentral:rRNA from 1 species